UCUCCUUCGGGAGAACGGAAGGACGCUUGUGGCCUACGCUACCACAGAGUUCAACACGACUGAAAUGACUUAGCCCUCACUUUCAGUUGCCAAGUCUUGUCCGACUGUUAUUGCUAUACCAUGGACUGUAGCCUGCCAGGCUCUUGCGUUUUUGGGAUUUCCCAGCUGUUGAUUCUAGAAUACCAUUUAACUGGUGAAGACAGCAGGCAUUUAUGUCAUGUUUGACUUUAAGGAAAUACACCCACUAUUUCAGCAGAAUUCUCUAUAAAUGAACUCUGUGGUGCUGGAAAAAACUCUUGAGAGUUCCUUGGACAGCAAGGAAAUCAAACCAGUCAAUCUGAAAGGAAAUCAACCCUGAAGAUUCAUCGGAAGGACUGAUGCUGAAGCUGAACCUCUGAUAC